CCCCACCUAGCCAGCUAUUUUCAAUAUAAGCUCAUUUGUUUCUUAUCCCACCGACCCAAACCCAGCACGCCCAAUAGCUGCUGGCCAGGAUCAAAUCUGAUGGUUAACACCAGAGCCACAACACAGAUUUUUGUGUUUUUGUUAAACUAGCCAAUCCACAACUACCCCGCCUCGUCCUUCCCCAGCAAAGCCUAAGGGAUAAUGCCCUUGGGUCUUAAUAAAGCAUAGUCCCACAGGUCCUCUGGCUCUCUCUGGCUCCCACCCUGCUGGCUGAGACGCCUGCUGAUUCCGGACUUCCCAGCUUCCCGUCAGCACCCCUAGCCUCUCUGGGAUCUGUGCUCAGAAAAUCAAUUUGGAAUGAGGCUAAGAAGGCAAUUCUUUAAAGCCCAGGAAGGCAUUGGCAGGACAGAGAAUCUGAAACAAACAAAGCCUUGCCUUUUCCUGCCUAUAAAGCCAGCCUCUUCUCAACUCAACAGAACAUUCAAUUUUAUAGAAUGAGGUGUUGCCUCAUUCUAGAACCACAAUAAAAGCCAAUUUGAUCUUUACAUUUGUUGUAAUCUUGUCUUCUGACAUCACUUCUACAAUGAAAUAGAAACUUCAUAUUUUU
rnacentral:lncRNA from 1 species